UCAUGUAAAAAGCAUUGGUUAGAUAGGCGAUUUAUUACAAGUUUCCAUUCUGUACUUAUUCUGUGACUCAGUCGUUUCGGUUUCGUCUCUUAGUGUGGUUCGGUUUGUGCUAUGAUCAUGAAGAAAUAAACAAAUAUAAUUUAGUUUUAUAAAUUUAAAUAAGUUUUAUAGAAGGAAUGAAUUAUCCUUUAGACAAAUAGUAUUCUUUCUUCUAUGUUUGAUGUUACUCACGGAAAAGAAAAACUUCUGGUAAUCUUUCUCUUGUAAGUUUAGGUACCUACAAUCAUUCACUGAAUCGCUGAAGCUAUGAUAUUAUAUUUGGAAAUUGUAUAUUCAAGAGUUGAAGAAGCUGAAAUAGUAUUCAAUUGCCUACGAGUUGACCGAGAACCACCUAGAAGUCAGGUGAAGAAGCAACUGUCAGUGGAUGGAAGAAAACUUCAAAUAAAUUUUACUGCAGAGAAAGCUAAAGAUUUGCGAACGGCCUGCAAUCUAUUUUUCGAACAUCUGAUCCUAGUAACGUCUGUCAUGGAGAGGUUUGGACCUCCAGUAUCAAAAGAAUAUUCCUUCGUCACCUCGUAAAUCAUAGAAUAUGCCAGAAAACACGCCAGCCCCGACCCCAAGUCGUGCUAACUAUGGAUUCGCGCUCUAUCUUGGCUCGUGGACAGCAUUUGGCCUCUAUUUGAUUUGGUCAUUUGUGCCAGAAUGCUUCCUUCAAAAUCUAGGCCUCUCAUAUUGGCCGCAAAAAUACUGGGCGGUCGCAAUCCCAGUACAUAUGUUAAUUACACUAGUUCUUUUUGCAUUUUGUUUCUAUCCUGCUAUUAACAUGACGCUUGUUCCCCCUAUGGAUGACAUGCAAAUUUUGACUGACAAAUACUCCUUCAAACAUCCGCCAGUGGACAAUUGUAGGCGAGGUGGCAUACCAGAAGUCUCCGAUAUUCCUAUGUCUGAAGUUUGCAAGAUGUUGUACUCCAAACGCCAGCAGAUGUAGUUUUACUUUCUUUUCAUUUGAUAAGUUACUAAAGCCUUUUGGAAACAUGCCAUAGAGAGUCACUCUUAUAAUACGAUAAACUCAACUAUCGCCAAUUCGCCCUAAAAAAAUGGAUAACCACAAAUCUCCUAAAAAAUCUCAAUUAUUGUAAGACCUGUUAUCAUGUGAAGUUUUUCUAAUAUUGUAUUUCAUCUGAGUAUUGAAAUGAAUCAUGAUUUAAAACCCGUUCUCAAUAUAGUUUUAUAUAUUUCCAAGGA